GCUGAAACUCAAGAGUUUUCAUAAUGAAUGCCCAUUGGAAGCAAAAGCAAGCAGUUGAAGAUAUAGCUAAGAUACACAUACACUGAUAUAGAUGUCAGAGAUAGGCAGCUGUAACCUGAGAAGGAACGAGGAAACCUGGCCAGCAGGAUGAAGGACACAGAAGAAAGUUUUGAAAAUAAUCAUUGAGUUUGUUCACUAAAAGGCUGCAUUUAAAUGAAAAUAAUCAUGUGAAAGUCCAAGGAAACAGCUAUAUGAGCAAGCAGCAAAAUGUUUAACACUAAGAAACCACAUUUGUUUAUAUUUUAUUCUUUAAGUGAACUUUAAGUGCUCUGUGUACAGGAUCUCUAGUUUUGCAUGGCACUGAUAGGUGCUGUGAAUGUCAGAGUGAUUUUCAUCUGAGCUGAGACGAAUUCCUCCUGCCUGACUCGGUGGGAAUUAAAAGGAACUUGAACUUGAAAUAGUCUCAUUGCUGGAAAGCUUAAAGCCCACAUAGAAAUGAAGAGAGUUGGACCUGUGGUGUGACUUUCUUUGCCUGUGAAAAUCAUCCAAGAGAGCCGUUCAGUGAACCAGCAGUAAAAACUUUCCACGAGUAAUGUCUCGCUGUCUCCUCACCUCGCUCUUUUCUCUGGCCUCCUGGUCUCGAGUCAGUGGGUCAAUAUUUGCCUUUAACUUUUGACCUGUGUGUUUACCCACGUUUUUACUCAAUUACUGCCAUCACUGCAGUCGAGCUUGGAGAGACCAUUAAGCCGAGGAACCAAAAAUCCUGUGUCAGGAAGUCAGAGAAAGCAAAGAUUGAGGGAGCUGUGUAUUUUUUAAUGACAUUUCAUGAUAUGUAGUGAUUUAUAGGCUAAUACUUUUAUGGAAAAGAUGUUGGGGAGAUUAACAUAUUUUCUAGAGCCACAGUGUAGCUUAGCCUAUUUACUGUAUCUUUGUAUGUUGCUGUGCCCUUCAGCAAUUUAGUAGUUCUUGUAGUAGUAGUAUUACAAUGCAUGCUACUCUAAUGUGGAUCAAUUCACCUUAGCAUUUGACAAAAUAUGCUUACACUUUACAUUAUGGUACAUAGAAUUUUGUGUAGUCAUGCAGGAACAAAUCGUGACCUGACUAGCAGUUAGCUGUCUUUGGUUUUAAGGAAGUGACUGUGGAUCCCCAGUAAAAAGUAAUUGCUAGCUAAAACUGGCUACUCCUCAGUUUGGACAAACUUAAGGUGACACAAAAAAUGGUUGGGAAUAGUGAUCAUGAAGUAAUGGGGCAUUCUUGACUUCUUACCUGAGAUGGCACAAAAAUAGUAGGUAAUAUUGGAGUAAUUCAAAUUUGAUGAGUCAUUAGCUUUGUCAGCCGCUAACUCAUUAGAUUCACAGUUACAUGAACAAAUCAUUACGUCUGUAAGUAACUUCAUUAUCUAUUAGUCCUCAAUUCAGAGUUAUUUAGGAGUUACAUAUUAGUGAUUCAUUAAUUUUCAGCUAGUUGAUUACUGCCCACAUCUCCAACUGUACAGCUGUGAUGCUCAUUGACGGCUGUGGACAAACAAUUGGCCAGUUUUGUAGGUUGUGAUCAAGAAUGGGCAUGUCACCUUCCUUUAUAGCUAGCUAACUACAUCCAUGACAAAUAGCAACAGGUAAAUUGCCACAAAAAUGGUGACCAACAAAACAACCCUCUACCAAAUACAAAAUGGCUAACUGCUCCUUACCCCUUAGUAACUUCUAAAAUUGUACAAAAUAUUUCAUGUCAGUUGAGAUGUCCACUAUGUGUUUCUAUCUCAGGCUCUUUCUAUGGCUGUGAAGUCUGCCCAUGUAAUGACUACAACUACACCUGCUUUUACAGCUACAACUACUGCACCUACUCCCACUGCAGCCACAAGCAGCCAAAAUGGUGUCCAGUCCUUUGGGGUAAAAACAGCUCCAUUUAUCAUUGAGUGAAGUUGCAUGAAAGUUAAAAAAAAAUUCUUUGUUACCAGUGGGCCUUGUGGCAAAACAUGUAAAAAAAAUUCUUUGGUACCAGUGGGACUUGUGGCAAAACAGUCUGAAUAUUCAGUAUCAUCAAGGAUUUAGGAAAUAUGUCUUGGUACUAACUUAUUCUAUUCAUUACAGCCAGAUGGUGGCAAUUAUCAAAAUUACGUGACACAGACUCAUCCCCCUUAUUAGGAAAACUACAUAACCACAGCACAAACAACUAGCACUAACACUGCCUGAACUGCUAUUACUGCAGUUACAAAUACCACCACUACCACAUAUAUCACAUGUCCAUGUGCAUACAGUCUGCUGUUAAUAAUCCAGACUGCUGUGACCUGCUUUAAAUACAUCCCCAGACUAAUAAGCUCAUUACUACUCCCCUGUAAGAGCAGUGGGUCAGGAGUUCUGCACACACACUCACAACCACACAAAAGAUACACACCGUAAUAAUGUGCAAAAACACAUGUAGUACAUACAGUAUACACAAAUGCAUGCAAGGGACGCACCCUUGCACACAGUCUACAUGCCUUUGCAAUAACAAGAUCCCUCUCGCCUGCAUGCCUCACAUGCAGACAUGGAUGCACGCAGAAAUGCAUGUACACACAUACACACACACACACAUUUCCUGCUACCCAUCCAUCUGUACAUCCAUUCAUCCUCAGCUUUACAGUCACUCAUAACGAAACUGUUUGUGUAAAAUUAGAAGUGAAACCACAUCCUCUCUGAUUGAAUCUGUGGACCUGCUGGUUCUGCUGGGUGGCUGUGCAAACAAACUGAGCGGGCCCAUUACAGCUUGGCUCCUCUGUGGCGUCACAACACACACACACACACACACACACACACACACACAGGAACACAGGAACACCUAAAAACACACACACCUAAAGUCAUUUAGAAGUUGCAUUCAUUGGGAUGAAAUCCUACACCGUUAUCUCUAAUCUUUAUAUCUAGAGCUAAUCAGCCACACACACACACACACACACACACACACACACACACACACACAACACAUAUACACACAUAAUGACUCCAUUCCUCAAAUCAUCCCAUCAUUCCACUGGUCCAGGGACAGAAGCAAAGCAAAGGAAAGCUCGAAUAGUAGUAGUAGUAGUAGUAGUAGUAGUAGUAGUAGUAGUAGUAAUAGUAGUGUGAGAUGGUUAUGGUCCUGGAAAACCUCAUACAGAGAAGGUUGGGGCAAAUAGUUUGCCUGCAGUUUUCAUCCCAUUUCCUGCCAACAGUCAGUGUUGUUUUCUUUUAACCAUGAGCACAAUCAUUCCUCAAUCUUAACCAGUUUUUUUUUCUUAAACUCAACUGAACCUAAACCAUAGUGAUGGCAGAUCAAAAAACAAUCCAAUCAGUAAUUUUUGUAACAGUAAUUUGUAACUGUUUUACAUGACUGCUUAAUAGUUUUUUACAGUGUUGUCCUGAUGAUAGCAGCUCCGGAUCAGAGUUGUCAGCAUCCUCCCUUUUUCAUUUCCUCGUUGGACUGUUUUCUCUGCUGAUGUUGCUCCUCACUGCUCAGCCCAGAAGGGUGACCGUUGUCGGGCAUGCUGUGUAGGGCCAGACUGGCAGUACUGAUGGAGGUCUCCCGCCCUCUCCGGUCACAUCAAUCUGCUCUGGCAUCUUCUCCUCAGGGCGUAUAGAACGCCCUGUGCUGGAUCAGAAUAAAACUAAAUGUUUCUUGCAGAGGUCUGAGAAUGCAGCAAUAAUGCUAAAAAGAAGUCAGAAGGGUCAAGAAAAACAAGCGGUUUGACAAUUGGCAGCCUUUUCAAAGAAGUUCCAUGUUGACCCAACUUGUCUGGAAGAGAGAAGAAAACACAAUGACCUGUGUGGCCACCGCAGCUCCCCUGUGUCAGGGCUACACGUCACGGAAAGAGGACCCAUCACGGCACUUCACCUGCUGUUCCCAG